UUAGACAGUUGUCUGAUGAUGUAUAUAUUGCAGGGCAACAACUCACUGCGUGGUAUAGCCUAUAAAAUGCAGUUAGAAUAUCCAUAAAAUUCAAGAUAUAAAAGGCGAAAGGCGAUCGAUUUGAACCCUUUGAAGUGAACGACAACACCGUGUGAUUAUGGGGAUGAAUAUGAGGAGAAUGGCAAGUUGGACAACCACAGAUGGUCUUUCACAGACGAGAGAUGACAAACUGAUCAAAGGAACCACGGCGAAUCAGUGCAUUCAAGGACUGUACCAUGUGGAAACCGCACAACACUUCAGUUGUGCUGCAAGAGUCCCUCAGGGUCCGUCUUUCCCAAGUGAGCAAAAGCAAGAGACGCACCUCACUAACCGAUGCCACCACCUCAUUCAUCUGGAAAUAGCCUGUUUUGCUGUCUCGCUCAAAGAAAGAUGCCUAUGACGGAAGCGGCUGAGAGAAAAACUGCCGUGUCAGACAAAGGUUUCUGCCCUAAAAAGCUGUAAAAAUACGGCUGUCUUCAGUGCUCUGCGGACAGUCCUGGAUGUUACAUUACUCAUAAAUGAGCUCCACUUCCUGUCAACUCUCGUUCCUCACCAGCUCCUCAGCUUGUUUAAGGACAUUUAGCUGUCAGAACCGUGAUUGUGUCCACUAUAUACAGCGAUAAAAGGAUACGGAAGGGCACACAGAGGCGAGACCUGGGAACUGGACGUGGCCGAGGGAACAUAUUCGUCUACUGUUCUAAACUGCACUGUGAGGGAGGCUGUCUGAAGCCAAUAAAUGCACCAGAAACAAGUUCUGUUCAAGCGAUGCUGAAUCUGUGGGGAGAAAUAAGACACACUGAAAUAGAAAUGUACAAAAAUAAAUCUACACACUACAGUCCAGGUUAACUUUCGGUUGCAGCACUUGAUGCACUGAUGCAUCAAUUCUACCUUUAGUCCUCUAGUCUAUUUUUACACGUCAAACUUUGUUUUA